AUAGCGUACAGAUCCUCUCACCUGAACAAUGUGAAUACUUCAAGAGGAAAUUUAGUACAACGAUUAAUGUAACAGAAAGACGAAAACGAGUUGAGAAAUUUCUUGAUAUUGCAGAGAACAAUUUUGAAGCAGAUCAACUUUGGGGCUUUAUCAAAGAUACUGCAAAUGCUUUGAUAAUAAGGAAAAUGGAACUUGACAUUAAGGGUCACAAUACAGGUAUUAAUAAUUAAGUUGCAUGUUGUGGAAUACAUGCAAAUCCUAUUUUUAUGACAGAGGUAUCCAUGUUAAAUCAAAAAAGUUGAAAAAAAAUAUCUAGGACACCUUAAUCUUGGUCGUGAAAGCAAUUGCAACACACAUGUUUUACCAUUUUAGUUUUAUGCAGCACGGACAAUUCUGAUGGUAAUCAUACAAGGUAUUAGUAUAAUUACGAAUGUAAAAACUAAUUAGUAGAAUGUGAAACUAUUCAAAUGAAAUACAACCAAUCGCGUUAUUUAUGAACACAACAAUAAAUGAAAAAACAAAUAUGAUGCACCACAACCAAUAAAAAAACAUAGAAUCACAGAUACAAGACACAAUGGGGUUGGAUAAAACAUGUUUGUGAACGCUCCCGUAAUUCCACUCAGUGGCUGAAUAACGUAUCAUAAUUAAAAACAAAUGAUAUCCUUUUAGGACCAGAAGGCAUUAACUUGUCUGAUGUAAUAACUAGAGAUGGCAAAGUUUUUGAAGGAGUAUAUGAAGUUUUUAUUACUGAAGAAGGUGAGA
rnacentral:lncRNA from 1 species